rnacentral:misc_RNA from 1 species
CCGUAGUGUACAAUGACAUGUAGGUAAACUUAUCGCAUUUCUAAGUUGAGUCCCUCUCUUUCUCUUUUGAGGGAAAAAAAUAAUAUUUAUUUAGCAGUUGUAUUGUAACGCAGAGAUCAAUUUUUUUUUAGAAUUUACAUGCUCUGCUACGAAGAAAAUCUAUCAACAGAUAAAUUGGGUAUCGGAGUGAAGGAUUCAGGUGGGCAAAAGCCAUAGUCGCCGCCUAUGUUAGUGGCUUUUGUCUGCCCAUUCUUUUUCAGGGCUUACCUCUGCUUUUUCAGACACUAUUUGAUCAAGAAAGCCCUUGUCUCUGCAGCACUGAAUAGCUCCACCGAACAUAUCUUCAAGACCAAACCCAAACUUGAACCCCAAGUCCAAGAGUUUCAUUGAUGAGAGAUUAGAUAGUCUAGAAUCUUCAUUCUCCUUCACGUUAUUCAUGGCCGGUAUUUGAAAUUCCUGGAAUUUUGCAGAAAGAAAUUGGACCAAAGAACGAGUGGUCAUUUGAAGAUAGGAACAAAUGUAUCUCCCUUUUGCA